AUUGAAACACUGGUUCCUGUAAAAUCACCGAAGUUAAGCAAUGUCAAGACUGCUCAGUACUUAGAUGGGUGACCACCUGCGAAUACCAGGUGCUGUAAG